rnacentral:rRNA from 1 species
UGGGGAAUUUUGGACAAUGGGGGAAACCCUGAUCCAGCCAUCCCGCGUGUGCGAUGAAGGCCUUCGGGUUGUAAAGCACUUUUGGCAGGAAAGAAACGUCAUGGGUUAAUACCCCGUGAAACUGACGGUACCUGCAGAAUAAGCACCGGCUAACUACGUGCCAGCAGCCGCGGUAAUACGUAGGGUGCAAGCGUUAAUCGGAAUUACUGGGCGUAAAGCGUGCGCAGGCGGUUCGGAAAGAAAGAUGUGAAAUCCCAGAGCUCAACUUUGGAACUGCAUUUUUAACUACCGGGCUAGAGUGUGUCAGAGGGAGGUGGAAUUCCGCGUGUAGCAGUAAAAUGCGUAGAUAUGCGGAGGAACACCGGUGGCGAAGGCAGCCUCCUGGGAUAACACAGACGCUCAUGCACGAAAGCGUGGGGAGCAAACAGG